rnacentral:rRNA from 1 species
CUUGUGGCUAGGAGUGAAAGGCUAAUCAAACUCGGAGAUAGCUGGUUCUCCUCGAAAGCUAUUUAGGUAGCGCCUCGUGUAUCACCCUGGGGGGUAGAGCACUGUUUGGGCUAGGGGGUCAUCCCGACUUACCAACCCCAUGCAAACUCCGAAUACCCAGGAGUGCGAUCACGGGAGACACACGGCGGGUGCUAACGUCCGUCGUGGAGAGGGCAACAACCCAGACCGCCAGCUAAGGUCCCAAAGUUACAGUUAAGUGGGAAACGAUGUGGGAAGGCUUAGACAGCUAGGAGGUUGGCUUAGAAGCAGCCAUCCUUUAAAGAAAGCGUAAUAGCUCACUAGUCGAGUCGGCCUGCGCGGAAGAUUUAACGGGGCUCAAACUGUACACCGAAGCUGCGGAUAUCUUUUAGAUAUGGUAGAGGAGCGUUCUGUAAGCUGAUGAAGCUCAAUUGAGAAGUUGGGUGGAGGUAUCAGAAGUGCGAAUGCUGACAUGAGUAACGACAAAGGGGGUGAAAAACCCCCUCGCCGGAAGACCAAGGGUUCCUGCGCAACGUUAAUCGGCGCAGGGUGA